GACGCACGCUGGCGGCGUGCCUAAUACAUGCAAGUAGAACGCAGUUUCGAACGGGUGAGUAACGCUUAUGUAACUUCCUGUUAGCGGGGGAUAACUAUUGGAAACGAUAGCUCAUACCGCAUACUACCCUAUGGACCUGCGUUGUAUUAGCUAGUUGGUGGGGUAACGGCUCACCAAGGCAACGAUACAUAGCCGACCUGAGAGGGUGAUCGGCCAAACGGGGACUGAGACACGGCCCAGACUCCUACGGGAGGCAGCAGUAGGGAAUCUUCGGCAAUGGACGGAAGUCUGACCGAGCAACGCCGCGUGAGUGAAGAAGGGUUUCGGAUCGUAAAGCUCUGUUGUAAGAGAAGCGGUAUCUUACCAGAAAGGGACGGCUAACUACGUGCCAGCAGCCGCGGUAAUUC
rnacentral:rRNA from 1 species